ensembl:lncRNA
UUAGCAGCUAAGGCAGUUUGUGACAAGGGUGCUUUUGUGUUCCCAGUCCUUGGAUCUUGCUAGGGACACCCACUGGGGUCUCCCUGUUCAAUGCUGACACAAGAUGGAUGGCAGCAAGUCAAGAAUCGUGAAGAUGUAAAUGGGGAAGGCCUGGCCGCACGAGAGCCGCACGUGGGCCUCCCGCCCUGCCUGCGCCAAGGGCCGCUCGCUGGACCUGGCAGCACUCCUGGAUGGGCUUCUUCCAACAAGCUCCUCUGCAGCACCCGCUGCCACGGCCAAAUUCAGGCUUUGUUUCCUCCAUAGACUUUCACUACUUCUUGGGCUUCCCUCAUAGCCCUCUUCCUUCCUCUGAUGUUGCGUCUAGGAGGUUGGGUUCCUGCUGCUAUGCUUCUCCGCUCCCUUCUGUAGAGAUGCCAUCCUCAGAUGCCUCUUCUUCAAGCCUGGCUUUUCUUUCAUUCUUCCCACACUGUACUGGGCUCUGUAUUGUGUGGAGAAAGGAAACAUUUGCCCCUGGAGACCCAGUCACUGCUGGGCAGCUCAGGGGAAAUGUCUGUGGAUGAAAACCUGGUGUCAGCAGUUGCGGCUUGGAGUGGGUUGCAGCAUCUACCUGAGCUGGCUUGGCAGCCCAGAAGUUUUACAUAAUCGUGUUUUAAGACGUUUUUAAGUGCAGAAUGACAUUUUGAGGCUGGACCAGAAGCGAUAAAGGCAAUGGCAAAAAUAAUGAGUGCAUUAAGGUGACCAGAUUAUGCAUUCGUGUGUGGGAAAAAUAAGCAGAAGGUCAUGCAAAAAUGUGAUUCUCCCAUGUCGCUCAGCAGCUCAGUCCUCACUGCCAGCAGAAGCUGCCUUAUUGCAAGCAGCACAGCUGCCAGCACAAGGAGACUUGGGAAGCAAAGCCAACAGGUGCUCACUUCAAGGAGUUGCAUGUUCACCAACUGAGGAGAAUUGUAAUGUGCUGCUAAAUAACCUCAAAGCAGGUUUACUGAGUGUAAUGUGUCUCUUCUAUCUUCUGUCUCCUUUCACAUCAUGGGCACUGUGCACUUGUUGGAGGGAAAUGCCACCUGUGGCUCUGCCUGUCCUCAAACAGGCCAAUAGUCAGUCCCACCUGCAUCCAAUCCCCAUGCAUGGGACCUUCUAAAGCUAUGACUGGGCUCCAUCUGUGUGCACACGUGCUGCACUUAACCCGUCCUUUGGCAAUGUCACUGACAUCAGCCCAAUUACACCAGCCAUGAAUUGGACCCUGUUUACACUCUGAAACUUCCAUAGCUUACAGCCAAAGUUCAGACUGUUAUACAAUGAAACCAUUCACACGUCUCAUUAACUCUGCACUAUGCACUGAAAAUAACCAUGCCACGUGAUUCUGUGAUUUUCUCAGUUUAUAUCAUUUAUAAGUGCUUUUUCCUCUUCAUAACAGCAACUCUCAGUAUUGGAAACAUUUUAGGCUGUCGAUGUAGCAAAAGUGCUUUGUAGAGCACAAAACAGUAACUUCUUGGUGUUGUAUUAAUUGUCUUCGUCUUAAAUAAUACAAUCCAUGAAGGUAUUUUAAACCCAAGCUCAAAGACGUAGGCAUGUGGCCAACUGCUCUGAGACACCAGUGCGCCUGUGGUUGUAUAUUUUAUACUUUUUGAACUUUAUUUUUAUUCAUUUCUAAUUUAUAGUGGCAGUAAAGCACAAUCCAAGUUUCUGAGUAAGCAAAGUGUACAAGCACUUGGAAUUUAAUAAGGUUAUACUGUUGCCUACACAUGGGAAGACACAAGAGUCUUCUCCUCAUAUGAUUUAUAUUACUGUAUUUUCUCUGCUGAGUGCCAGCAACGAGCCUUGUGUUGUACAUGACUGUGCUCUUGUAUAAAGGUUUGUAUAACAGAUCCAGCACAUGAAUAUCUGGAAAUCACAAAGCGCUUGCAAAGUAAAGCACAUGUUUCCAGCCUUGAGAGGCACAAUAGAGGGAUUGCUGCAGAGAUGGCUCUGGGGGGUUGGUUUUGGUUUGUGCUGCAGGGAAGAAGAAAUGGUGGAUGCUAGAGCUCAAAACCUAUUCCAAAAGAGGCAGAGGUAUAAUAAGUCCCACAAAACAAAGCAGAGAGAUGGGCUGGGCCAGGAUAAAGAAACAAAUGAGCUGCCAAGGCUGGUAUUAACAAUGGAGUGUAGCACAGAGAAAUGUAGACGAGCAAACCUUUCACUGGGUGCUGAAAGGGAGGAUGUGAGAUGGCCACAAGUGUGUGUGAGGAAGGAUGCACAGGUGGAUGAUGCAUUUAGAGCAAUGUCAGUGUAAGCAAAGCUUUGUUGGCAAUCAUUUCAUCCAUCUGCAAAAGUAACGUGGGAAGUCAUGAAAAAGAGACUGUUGGCAGCUCAGUAUGAGAGGACAUACCUUGAAGUAACGUCAGGUCAGAGGCAUGUUAGGGCAGAGGAUGUCUCAGGUGCUUGUGACUGUAUGGCAUGGAAGAAGGGCAUAUGUUUGAUCACAGGUUAGAUAUGUUUGGGAGAAAAAAAAAACAGAGAGAGCUGUUCACAGAUCCUGAGCCUAGGGCAAAUAGAAAUAUUGCUAGAAGUAAGUAAAAGGAGCCUAUUUCAUAUUGCUAGAAGGAAGUAAAAAGGAAAAGGGUUUGGGAGGAAAAAUUAGAGACCUCCUGUUCAUCUGUGCUCAACUCAAAUCCCUGGUGACCCAUCCUUGAGCAAUGUGUCAGAGACAGACUGAAAGAAAGAAUGGAAGAAGAGGCAGGUGGGGAAGCAGAUUUGUAAGCUGCCAUCAGCAAAACAGCAGAUACAGCUCAGAGGAGAUGGGGUGGCCUCCUCAGCAUGCAGCUUCUAUUCUCUCCAUCCGUAUCCUGCUCUGUUGCAAUGAGCAUUCAUCUUGCUAUAAGUAAGAAUAAUAACUUAAAGAGAAAGUCCCUCCUUUGGCUGCUCAUCAUUUCACCCCUCCUGAAGCUAAACUAUUUUUAUGUGACUGAUGAUUGAUUUCUUUUCGAGAAAAACAGUCCCAAAAUGUGGUGCACAAUUAUUGCUGCAGCAAAUCUUCUGGCGUUCAUUUCCCAUCAUCCAUUGACAUCCACAAUCACUCCCACUCCUUGAACAAAGAAAGGAGAUGGGCAGAUGGAGACAUUCAGCAGAAUUCAGGUCUGUUUUCAGGUCUAAAUCGUGAAGUACUUCAGUAAUGGUUUUGAUGUAUUCAAUAAAACCUGUACCUAUAUAUGUUAUGCAAGGAUCAAAGCCCUGCAAUGAGGCUACGUUGUACUUUUCCAUCUGUUUCAAAACUCCCUCACUAAGGUACAUGGCUGAAGAGGUCACCUGUGUUUGAUUUGGGAAUUAUAAAGUUUGUUCAUGAAUUAACUCGGAAGGCAAGCCUACAAACGAAACAGAGAGGGCUUGAAACAUAGGUCUGCUUGUAAAAUGCAUGUUGAAAAGCCAUUUUGAAAGACAUCCUAAAAUCUGCUCUUAUCUUGUUGCCAAGUCAUCAGUGGUUUGACCCACAUAUCAGAACUCUCCUUAAAAAAUAAUAAUUCAAAAAAACUUCAGAAGAAUCUAUUUACGCAGGAAAAGGUCUUUCAAAACAGCUGCACAGGGGCCAGGAUCAACAUCUGAACACGGGCUGAGUUGUUACAUAUUUAGAAUUAUUCCUUUCAUUAGAGGCAUGAGGGCUAUCUCAGGCAUCCUGGGGACUGAUUUGGAGUUGAGACGUCCUAAAGCAGUGACUGCCUCGCUGGGUCAAAUCCUGCUUCUGUACAUGCAAAGCUUCUAAUUCCAUCUCAUUUCCACACUUGCUGCCACUCAGGACUCUAUUAAGGUGAACCCACCAUUUCCAGUGCCACUCUGCUGUGGCUGUAGUGGCUGCACCGCUGAACUGGUAUGAUUCAGAUCUUCUGCAAGGAGAUGAAACCCACUUGGAGGACCACCAAACUUUUUUCUGUCUGAUGUUUGCCUUUCCAUUCAUGCAGUGAGCAGACACAUGGAGAAAACAGUGAUUGCUCCAACGAGAUGCCUGGGGUUGGGUGCCUUGUGUGUGCCAACUCUUGCUGAGCUCUGAGCAAUUAGGUAGCAAUGAAGCAUCAAGGUGAGGAAAAGCACAAACUAUUGGGAACAAAGAAAACAUGACCUUAAGCAGAAGGAUUGCAGAGUGAGGGCAAUGGAGGCUGGUGCCAGAGUGAACGGGAGUCUGCAGAGAAACACUUUGAGAGCGUGCAGUGGGAUUGCACUGCAGGAUGUCAGAACGAAGAAUUUUUCUUUAUUGUUUCAAAAAGGAUUUUUUUUUAAUGACAGAAACAUCUGGGUCAGAAAAUGUAGCAGGCUGAAAUAAAGCAUUUUGCUUCGUUUUGUUCUCUCUCCACUCAUUCGUGCACUUUCUGCGUUCCUUCCCAUGCAGGGCCUCAAUGUUAUCAAUGCACUCACAGAGAUGCUGCUGAUGUGGAAACAACGUGGAAUUACAUACAGUACUUUUGCAGAUAGAUCAUUUCAGCUGCAUCUUUCACAAAGCACAGCCAAGGAGACAGGUGUUUUAUCACUGUGUUGAGGGAGACAGAUGACCCCAAUCUAAACUUGCAUGCACACCACUGGUGCAUCUGUCUUGUAUCUAGGCAGCAAAUCCUCACAGAGACCCUUGAGAAGGUUGAAAUAGCCUUCCCAUAAGCUCGUCUCCAUGCCCCAGGAGUGCUGAUUGCACUUUCCUUGGGAAGGGCUUUAUCUGGACCUAAGAACUCAUACUUAAUGGGCAAGUGCUUGCAGCACAUACCUUUCCCUGGGGGACCUUCCUUCAGUGUGUUUGGUUCCUGAAGGAAAGACAACCAAAACUUGCAAACACUUUGUGCCAAGGUGCAAGAAAGCAACAAGGAAGAGCACUAUGAAAGCUUUGCCAGAUGGGAAAGCUCUUCAUCACACUCCUCACCAAGAACUCAAGUAAACUUUCAGCCGCGUGGGAAGAAAACUUCCCUGAUGUGAAGCUAUUGUGAACAAGGCUCCAUAAUGUGAUGCAUUGCCUGAAAUAAGAAUGCUGAGCCCUGCUUCUGAUCCUGGACAUAGCAGCAUAGAAUGGGAACAAUGUGAUCAAAGCCACAAGAACAGCAGGGCCAUCAGGAACACCUGGUAAUAUGCACUAAUGAAAUCUGGACCAAAUGGGUUUGAGACACCUCCCAUUUGCUGCUAUUUCAGUCUGUGAAGGGAUAGCCAGCUGCUAUGGAGAUGUUCCUGAAAUGCCUGCAGGAACUAUAGCCACAGUCCCUGGUGAGAGACCCUAUGGAGCGCAGUGCUGUUUGCACAGGUUUUGAAGCAUUCAAGCACAGAACAGCUUACCGUAAAGCAUCUAAUGAGAUCAAGGAUUUGCCCAUUUGCUCUCACUUAGGAAAAGCUGAU